rnacentral:rRNA from 1 species
UGGGGAAUAUUGCACAAUGGGCGAAAGCCUGAUGCAGCGACGCCGCGUGAGGGAUGACGGCCUUCGGGUUGUAAACCUCUUUCAGCAGGGACGAAGCGCAAGUGACGGUACCUGCAGAAGAAGCACCGGCUAACUACGUGCCAGCAGCCGCGGUAAUACGUAGGGUGCAAGCGUUGUCCGGAAUUACUGGGCGUAAAGAGUUCGUAGGCGGUUUGUCGCGUCGUUUGUGAAAACCAGCAGCUCAACUGCUGGCUUGCAGGCGAUACGGGCAGACUUGAGUACUGCAGGGGAGACUGGAAUUCCUGGUGUAGCGGUGAAAUGCGCAGAUAUCAGGAGGAACACCGGUGGCGAAGGCGGGUCUCUGGGCAGUAACUGACGCUGAGGAACGAAAGCGUGGGUAGCGAACAGGA